rnacentral:rRNA from 1 species
UACGGGGGGGGCAAGCGUUGUUCGGAAUUACUGGGCGUAAAGGGCUCGUAGGCGGCCAACUAAGUCGGACGUGAAAUCCCCAGGCUCAACCUGGGAACUGCGUCCGAUACUGGAUGGCUUGAAUCCGGGAGAGGGAUGCGGAAUUCCAGGUGUAGCGGUGAAAUGCGUAGAUAUCUGGAGGAACACCGGUGGCGAAGGCGGCAUCCUGGACCGGCAUAGACGCUGAGGCGCGAAAGCCAGGGGAGCAAACGGG